AUUUUUAUGAGCGCGCUCAGUUACAAUUGCAUUGGCAGCACCAUCGUAUUCACAGACGUACACGCACACACAUUGGGGAUGCACUCGGUCGGGAUUCUCCGCUCCUGCUCCCCUCCUUCAUCCCCUCGCGAUACCAAGUGGAAAACGAAAACGGGCCACAAAAAUGAAGAAAAGAGCCAAGGAAAACGCAAAAGCACGGGCGGACUUAAAGCCAAAUCGAACGAUUUACUGACGCUCGCCGAGAAUUGGCCAAAGCUCACCAAUCGGAACAGCAAGACACUGAUUUGCCAAGCGGGCGAUCGAAAUUGAUCGGAUUAUAUGUAACAACAAACACAAAAAAAAUACCCGCAGCGAAUUAGAAGUUGCAGACAAAUUGCUAGAGGUGGCCCACUGCGUCGAUGUUUAUGCGAUACUAUGUGCGAUAAGUGUGGACCCAUCGAUUGCUGUUCCGCGCCAGUCGAUUGAAUUCACUUGACCUAAUAGCCCGAUUCCAUUGGCACAUAUUUCAAUUGGGGGAAGCUCCACUGCCAACGUUAAUUGAAACAAAGUCUUAUCUUAUUUCAUUUACUUGACCCACGGUUGGAUUGCAAUACAAGUUCCGAUACUAUCGAAA
ensembl:ncRNA asRNA:CR44340 antisense RNA:CR44340